rnacentral:sRNA from 1 species
AUACUAUUGCAAUCCCGGAUCGCAAAUAGUCAACUUAUGUGGGAAGCAUACUUGUAAGAACCACCGACUGGGAUAACAUUACGGCCAACAUGUCAUGGUUGCUCGAUGCUGCAGUUUGCGUAGUACUUGACUUAUUUAUAAUUUUGCAGUACAUCUACUAUAAACACUGGAGGAAAGGGACUACAAGAGGUGAAGAAGACUACACGUACCAAGGAAGCAAAUAAUGGUGUAGCUUCUUGAAAGCACAUUUGCAUGCAUGUAUGCUGAAAUCAAAUCCAAAUCUAGAGCACCAUAAUUAAUCUUUCCAUCUCCCUAUAUACUAUCGCUAGGGUCUGUUGGAUUUGGUAUUAAAUCAACACGCCUAAACUAAAACAAGAAUCAGGACGCAAGAUAUUUAGAUUUGUGUUUCCUAGUUGGUUUGAGAUUUGGUUUUAGUAUAGGAUUUGGUUUCCUAUAUUCUAAGGACUUUGUGUAAACCUAUGACAUCUAUUAGUAUAAAUAGAUGGAUGUGGGAUAUAGUUUUGUGUGUAAGAGUUUUUGAGAGGCAUAAAUUUGUAUACUUGAGAACACUUUGUGUUUGUGAGUUCUCUUGUAUUUGUUAGUAAUCAAUAAAGCUUCCGUUGUUAGAGAGGUACUCCAAUAUUGGA